AACGAACGCUGGCGGCGUGCUUAACACAUGCAAGUCGAACGGGGGUAUACGGAGAAAUUGGUUUCGGCUGAUGGAUUUGUAUAACUUAGUGGCGACGGGUGAGGAACACGUAGGUAACCAAUCCUGAAGCGGGGGACAACUGCGGGAAACCGGAGCUAAUACCGCAUAAGACCACAGGCUGAGAGGCUGGUGGUAAAAGGAGCAAUUCACUUCAGGCUGGGCCUGCGGCCUAUCAGGUAGUUGGUGGGGUAAGAGCCUACCAAGCCAGAGACGGGUAGCCGGACUGAGAGGUUGAACGGCCACACUGGAACUGAGACACGGUCCAGACUCCUACGGGAGGCAGCAGUGGGGAAUUUUGCGCAAUGGGGGAAACCCUGACGCAGCGACGCCGCGUGGAGGAUGAAGGUUUUCGGAUUGUAAACUCCUUUUGUAGGGGAAAAUAGUGAUGGUACCCUACGAAUAAGCCACGGCUAACUCUGUG
rnacentral:rRNA from 1 species